rnacentral:rRNA from 1 species
UCUUCCAGUAUGGGGAGCAAAACAGCUAUGGGUCAAGUCCGAUAUCUUUAGGAGAAGUCUUAUUGUGAGGGCGAGUUAUAUAACACCAUAGGACUGGCCGUCCCAUAUGAAAAGAUUAUAUUAGAAUUGAAUGAAGCUUUGUUUAUAUAUUGAUAAUGACAGUAUAUAUAUCGUGUCUUGACUAAUUGCGUGCCAGCAGUCGCGGUAAUACGUAAGAGACUAGUGUUAUUCAUCUUAAUUAGGUUUAAAGGGUACCCAGACGGUCAAUAUAGCUUAUAAAAUGUUAGUACUUGACUAGAGUUUUAUGUAAGAGGGCAGUACUUGAGGAGGAGAGAUGAAAUUUCGUGAUACCAAAGGGACUCUGUAAAGGCGAAGGCAGCCCUCUAUGUAAAAACUGACGUUGAAGGACGAAGGCACAGAGAACAAACAGGAUUAGAUACCCAAGUAGUCUUUGCAGUAAAUGAUGAAUGCCAUAGGUUAGAUUGGUCAAUUAUAGUCUAGGGUUAGUCUAGCAAACUAAUACCCUAUGCUAUAAUCCUAAUAUCUGGUCUAUAAAUGAAAGUGUAAGCAUUUCACCUCAAGAGUAAUGUGGCAACGCAGGAACUGAAAUCACUAGACCGUUUCUGACACCAGUAGUGAAGUAU